rnacentral:rRNA from 1 species
AUACUGCAAGUCGAGCGGACAGAUGGGAGCUUGCUCCCUGAUGUUAGCGGCGGACGGGUGAGUAACACGUGGGUAACCUGCCUGUAAGACUGGGAUAACUCCGGGAAACCGGGGCUAAUACCGGAUGGUUGUYUGAACCGCAUGGUUCAGACAUAAAAGGUGGCUUCGGCUACCACUUACAGAUGGACCCGCGGCGCAUUAGCUAGUUGGUGAGGUAACGGCUCACCAAGGCGACGAUGCGUAGCCGACCUGAGAGGGUGAUCGGCCACACUGGGACUGAGACACGGCCCAGACUCCUACGGGAGGCAGCAGUAGGGAAUCUUCCGCAAUGGACGAAAGUCUGACGGAGCAACGCCGCGUGAGUGAUGAAGGUUUUCGGAUCGUAAAGCUCUGUUGUUAGGGAAGAACAAGUGCCGUUCAAAUAGGGCGGCACCUUGACGGUACCUAACCAGAAAGCCACGGCUAACUACGUGCCAGCAGCCGCGGUAAUACGUAGGUGGCAAGCGUUGUCCGGAAUUAUUGGGCGUAAAGGGCUCGCAGGCGGUUUCUUAAGUCUGAUGUGAAAGCCCCCGGCUCAACCGGGGAGGGUCAUUGGAAACUGGGGAACUUGAGUGCAGAAGAGGAGAGUGGAAUUCCACGUGUAGCGGUGAAAUGCGUAGAGAUGUGGAGGAACACCAGUGGCGAAGGCGACUCUCUGGUCUGUAACUGACGCUGAGGAGCGAAAGCGUGGGGAGCGAACAGGAUUAGAUACCCUGGUAGUCCACGCCGUAAACGAUGAGUGCUAAGUGUUAGGGGGUUUCCGCCCCUUAGUGCUGCAGCUAACGCAUUAAGCACUCCGCCUGGGGAGUACGGUCGCAAGACUGAAACUCAAAGGAAUUGACGGGGGCCCGCACAAGCGGUGGARCAUGUGGUUUAAUUCGAAGCAACGCGAAGAACCUUACCAGGUCUUGACAUCCUCUGACAAUCCUAGAGAUAGGACGUCCCCUUCGGGGGCAGAGUGACAGGUGGUGCAUG